rnacentral:lncRNA from 1 species
GUGCGACAGAUGGCAGCAGAGGGGCAGUCUGAUGUGGAAAUGUGGAUGAAGCAAAGACAUUUGUUACACAAUGUGCAUGUUUCUGCCACUUCAUACAGCAUACGUUAGGUUUUCCUGCCUCCUGUGAGCACUGACAGGACACAGCACGAAGACAAAGCUAGUUGCUGAAGAACUACUUCUGAAACACCCAUGAGACGUGAAGAACAACCGGUGAUCUCCUACAGGGAACAAUCUGCCACCAGAAGAGCUGUGCAUUUAAGUGAUUGUUUUGGCUCUGUUGCCAACUCAUGCCCUCAUUCUAAGGCGCACACAAAAACCAUAAAAUAAAAAAAUUAAAACAAAAAUUGUUUCUUGGGAAAGGAAAUCCUAAGAACAUCGAAUGUGUUCAAAAGACAUUCAUUUGGGUACUUGCAGAUGAAGGAAAUAAAUGCCAGAUUCACAGAAGCUGAGGUGGAACAUGCAUCGGGACUGGAGAACUAGUUCAGUUUCCAUCUCUCGGAAGAAAUGUGUGCACGUGCCACACAGGACAACAUUCUUAGUAAUCCCCUGUAAGGUGGCCGUGUCUGCUCAUGGUUUGGAGCGUUGCUCCUUGGUCUCUUCCAAUGAGACAUCCACUUUGUGUGCAGCAUUUUAUGUUCACACAGUCUAGGAACCAAACAACCACUUCCCUGCUGCGUGGGUCGUUUUCACAUUCAGCUCUAGCAAACAUUAAAAGCAGUUUGUUCCAAGAAGAUUAACUUCAAAUGGACUGCCUAAGGAUUCUAUUUGAACUGAGCAAAGCUGGCUAGUGUUUGAGUGCUCUUCAGAUAAGCUCUGGGAAAUCAGGCAAGAAUAGUGUUUCAGGUUAUUGAGAAAGAUGAAGAAAUUGCUUGAUGUCACUGCACUGAUGAUGGGAAGACCCUUAUUUCUCCUUUCUUCUCUUCCUCAUAUGUGGAACUAGAGAGAACACGAGUAAGAGUGCAGCAGGAUCGCCUGUCAUCGCCUGUGGUGGGGGUGGAGAAACCUGGUCCUUCCAUGCCACCUAGUGUAGGAAGCUGAGCAGCAGCCCUGCGAGGAUGGGCUCUGCAAGGUGGGGUCGUUAAGCAGGAAAUAACGGAGACCUGAAGCCUGCCACAAAAUGAGCCACCUCUGCCCUACAGGCAAACCCCUACUCAGUAGCUUGAUUUGAAAUUCUUCAUUUUUGGAAAUUAAAACUGAACUGUGGCUAAAAGGAUAUAGUGCCUGGUUUAGUGUUCUUUCUUUUUAUUUUCCUUCCAGGAUAGGAUAAAUUUUUCAUUUUUUGGUUGAUUCGUGUGGAAAAGUUAAGUUAUGGUCUUUAUAGCAGUUGCUCUAGAACACAGCAAUGGAUAAAAAUGGCCCAGAGUUACGGUGUGCAGUUUAAUUGCUAAACAGUGCUUCAGAUGGGUAGUUAGGAAUAAUCCUCUCUGUAACCAGCUAAACCAAGGACCCUUGAUCUUACUCUGAAACCUUUUGUGCUAGUUUCUCUUUGAGAAAGAAGAGCAGAUGAGAUCCAAAAUAAUUCUGAUAGCUAUUCUUAUGUUGGAAAAAAAUCUAUAUCAUGUCAAUAGACUCUUUCAAAACUACUUCUUAACAGAUUGCAGUGUCAGGCUGGUAUGUCACCAAUUCUGGAAUAACCAGAUAGCUAUAUAUAUUUCUCCCAGAACACCCAUGGACAAGGGCACCUGCAUGCUGUCAGAUUGUUGCAUGCAUAAGAUAUGAACUGUGUUUAUAAGCAGCUUCUGAGAGUAGCACCACACAAGUCGUAAUUGUUACUUUAGUAAGAGGGG